rnacentral:rRNA from 1 species
AGUCGAGGGGCAGCGGGGGAGUGGCAACACUUCCGCCGGCGACCGGCGCACGGGUGAGUAACACGUAUGAAACCUGCCCGCAGCAGGGGGAUAAGCGGAAGAAAUUCCGUCUAAUACCGCGUAACAACCGACGGGGGCAUCCCUGUUGGUUCAAAGGAGCGAUCCGGCUGCGGAUGGUCAUGCGGCGCAUUAGCUAGUUGGCGGGGCAACGGCCCACCAAGGCGACGAUGCGUAGGGGUUCUGAGAGGAAGGUCCCCCACACUGGUACUGAGACACGGACCAGACUCCUACGGGAGGCAGCAGUGAGGAAUAUUGGUCAAUGGCCGAGAGGCUGAACCAGCCAAGUCGCGUGAGGGAUGACGGCCCUACGGGUUGUAAACCUCUUUUGCCGGGGAGCAUAAGAGCGGGCACGCGUCCCGCCUCCGAGAGUACCCGGAGAAAAAGCAUCGGCUAACUCCAAACCAGCAGCCGCUGUAAUACGGUGGAUGCGAGCGUUAUCCGGAUUUAUUGGGUUUAAAGGGUGCGCAGGCGGAAGCGCAAGUCAGCGGUAAAAUUGAGAGGCUCAACCUCUUCCCGCCGUUGAAACUGCGUUUCUUGAGUGGGCGAGAAGUACGCGGAAUGCGUGGUGUAGCGGUGAAAUGCAUAGAUAUCAGGAAGAACUCCGAUUGCGAAGGCAGCGUACCGGCGCCCAACUGACGCUCAUGC